rnacentral:rRNA from 1 species
UACGUAGGGACCAAGCGUUGUCCGGAUUUAUUGGGCGUAAAGAGCUCGUAGGCGGCCCUCCACGUCGGAUGUGAAAGCUCAGGGCUCAACCCUGAGAUGCCAUUCGAUACGGGAAGGCUAGAGGUAGGUAGGGGAAAGUGGAAUUCCUGGUGUAGCGGUGAAAUGCGUAGAGAUCCGGAGGAACACCAGUGGCGAAGGCGACACGCUGGGCCGUACCUGACGCUAAAGCGCGACAGCAUGGGGAGCAAACGGG